GGGGAUAACUACUGGAAACGGUGGCUAAUACCGCAUAACGUCGCAAGACCAAAGAGGGGGACCUUCGGGCCUCUUGCCAUCAGAUGUGCCCAGAUGGGAUUAGCUUGUUGGUGAGGUAACGGCUCACCAAGGCGACGAUCCCUAGCUGGUCUGAGAGGAUGACCAGCCACACUGGAACUGAGACACGGUCCAGACUCCUACGGGAGGCAGCAGUGGGGAAUAUUGCACAAUGGGCGCAAGCCUGAUGCAGCCAUGCCGCGUGUAUGAAGAAGGCCUUCGGGUUGUAAAGUACUUUCAGCGGGGAGGAAGGUGUU
rnacentral:rRNA from 1 species